rnacentral:rRNA from 1 species
CGCGAGGGCGGCGGCUACACAUGCAGUCGAGCGGUAACAUUUCAAAAGCUUGCUUUUGAAGAUGACGAGCGGCGGACGGGUGAGUAAUGCCUGGGAAUUUGCCCAUUUGUGGGGGAUAACAGUUGGAAACGACUGCUAAUACCGCAUACGCCCUACGGGGGAAAGCAGGGGAACUUCGGUCCUUGCGCUGAUGGAUAAGCCCAGGUGGGAUUAGCUAGUAGGUGAGGUAAUGGCUCACCUAGGCAACGAUCCCUAGCUGGUCUGAGAGGAUGAUCAGCCACACUGGGACUGAGACACGGCCCAGACUCCUACGGGAGGCAGCAGUGGGGAAUAUUGCACAAUGGGGGAAACCCUGAUGCAGCCAUGCCGCGUGUGUGAAGAAGGCCUUCGGGUUGUAAAGCACUUUCAGCGAGGAGGAAAGGGUGUAAGUUAAUACCUUACAUCUGUGACGUUACUCGCAGAAGAAGCACCGGCUAACUCCGUGCCAGCAGCCGCGGUAAUACGGAGGGUGCGAGCGUUAAUCGGAAUUACUGGGCGUAAAGCGUGCGCAGGCGGUUUGUUAAGCGAGAUGUGAAAGCCCCGGGCUCAACCUGGGAACCGCAUUUCGAACUGGCAAACUAGAGUCUUGUAGAGGGGGGUAGAAUUCCAGGUGUAGCGGUGAAAUGCGUAGAGAUCUGGAGGAAUACCGGUGGCGAAGGCGGCCCCCUGGACAAAGACUGACGCUCAGGCACGAAAGCGUGGGGAGCAAACAGGAUUAGAUACCCUGGUAGUCCACGCCGUAAACGAUGUCUACUCGGAGUUUGGUGUCUUGAACACUGGGCUCUCAAGCUAACGCAUUAAGUAGACCGCCUGGGGAGUACGGCCGCAAGGUUAAAACUCAAAUGAAUUGACGGGGGCCCGCACAAGCGGUGGAGCAUGUGGUUUAAUUCGAUGCAACGCGAAGAAUCUUUACCUACUCUUGACAUCCAGAGAACUUUCCAGAGAUGGAUUGGUGCCUUCGGCACUCUGAGACAGGUGCUGCAUGCUGUCGUCAGCUCGUGUUGUGAAUGCUGGAUUAAGUCCCGCACGAGCGCAACCCCUUAUUCCUUACUGGCCAGCGGGUAAUGGCCCAGGACUUAAGGGAGACUGUUGUUUGAAUAAACCGCGCAGAAGCA